rnacentral:tRNA from 1 species
GGAGGGGUGCGAGAGCGGCCGAAUCGGCACGCUUGGAAAGCGUGUGACCUUCACGGGUCCGUGGGUUCGAAUCCCACCCUCUCCG